AGAGUUUGAUCCUGGCUCAGGAUGAACGCUGGCGGCGUGCCUAACACAUGCAAGUCGAGCGGAGAAUUGUUGCUUGCAACAAUUCUUAGCGGCGGACGGGUGAGUAACACGUGGGUAACCUGCCCUAAACAAAGGGAUAACAAUGAGAAAUCAUUGCUAAUACCGUAUAAGCUUACACUAUCGCAUGAUAGAGUAAGAAAAGAUUUAUCGGUUUAGGAGGGGCCCGCGUCUGAUUAGCUAGUUGGAGAGGUAACGGCUCACCGAGGCAACGAUCAGUAGCCGACCUGAGAGGGUGAUCGGCCACAUUGGGACUGAGACACGGCCCAAACUCCUACGGGAGGCAGCAGUGGGGAAUAUUGCACAAUGGAGGAAACUCUGAUGCAGCAACGCCGCGUGAAGGAAGAAGGUUUUCGGAUCGUAAACUUCUAUCUACAGGGAAGAAAAAAAUGACGGUACCUGAGUAAGAAGCCCCGGCUAACUACGUGCCAGCAGCCGCGGUAAUACGUAGGGGGCAAGCGUUAUCCGGAAUUACUGGGUGUAAAGGGUGAGUAGGCGGUUAAAUAAGCCAUAUGUGAAAUCUUAGAGCUCAACUUUAAGACUGCAUAAGGAACUGUAUAACUAGAGUGCAGGAGAGGUAAGUGGAAUUCCUAGUGUAGCGGUGAAAUGCGUAGAUAUUAGGAGGAACACCAGUGGCGAAGGCGACUUACUGGACUGAAACUGACGCUGAGUCACGAAAGCGUGGGGAGCAAACAGGAUUAGAUACCCUGGUAGUCCACGCUGUAAACGAUGAGUGCUAGGUGUUGGGUAGAGAUACUCGGUGCCGUAGCUAACGCAAUAAGCACUCCACCUGGGAAGUACGACCGCAAGGCUGAAACUCAAAGGAAUUGACGGGGGCCCGCACAAGCGGUGGAGCAUGUGGUUUAAUUCGAAGCAACGCGAAGAACCUUACCAAGGCUUGACAUCCUUCUGAAUACCUUAGAGAUAAGGUAGGCCCUUCGGGGACAGAAGUGACAGGUGGUGCAUGGUUGUCGUCAGCUCGUGUCGUGAGAUGUUGGGUUAAGUCCCGCAACGAGCGCAACCCUUGUCUUUAGUAGCCAUCGAGUUAAGUCGGGCACACUAGAGAGACUGCCGUGGAUAACACGGAGGAAGGUGGGGAUGACGUCAAAUCAUCAUGCCCCUUAUGUCUUGGGCAACACACGUGCUACAAUGGCUGUAACAAAGUGAAGCGAGACGGUGACGUUAAGCAAAGCACAAAAAGGCAGUCACAGUUCGGAUUGUAGUCUGCAACUCGACUACAUGAAGCUGGAAUCGCUAGUAAUCGCAGAUCAGAAUGCUGCGGUGAAUACGUUCUCGGGCCUUGUACACACCGCCCGUCACACCACGGGAGUUGGAAGUGCCCAACGUCUGUGACCCAACCCGCAAGGGAGGGAGCAGCCUAAGGCAAAGUCAGCGACUGGGGUGAAGUCGUAACAAGGUAACC
rnacentral:rRNA from 1 species